UCACAAAAACAAGUAACUUAAUUCCUUUGUUGACUUGAAGAAAGGGUUAAUUUCAUUUGAAUCAAAACAUACUGAAGUCUGGAGAUAAACACGAGAGCUUCCUUCCAAUCCUUCCUUCAAAUUUCCUAUUUAACCUCAAAUCUAAACCAUACUUUGUAUCAUACAACUUAAAACUUCACUUGAAAACAGUUAAAAGUUUAUUUCUUUGUUUCGUUUCAUUGAAUCGUUGUUUAACUUGAAAAUUUAAUAUAAUGGAUCCUUCAAACCGAACCAACCAAUGUAAUCCAACACACAUGCCAAGUGGAAAAGGCCACAAUGCUGGCUACCAAGGGACUGGAACCAAGAGUGAUCUUGAUAAUCAUGGUAACCAAAUGAAUCCCCAAAAUGCUGCUUAUGCCAGUAGUCGAAGUGGAAAUAAGAAGUGAACAUGGACAAAUGCUUAUUCCAAGAUUCAUAAAGCGGUUAUUUUUAUUGUAAUGCA